GCUGAUGUGUCAAAAAAAAUAUUUUUUAUUUUGAGAUUAAACAUUAGUUAUAUACUGAAGGGUAAAUUAGGAACAAAACUUUCAUGCUACUCCACCUCCUCCUCUCCAUUAUCAUCGUCGCAAUCGUCGGCACUCGGCACCUUCAAAUCACCGCCCAACAUUGCCGCCGAUCUGUAAGAUCCCAAAUCUGAUCAUGGGCAAUAAACCAUGAAACCAGAUUGAGAAUGCUACGAUAGAACUAAAAAGCCCCCAAAUCAGACAAAGGGUAAUAACCAAAUCAGACAUAACAACAAACAAAUUUACUACCAUCAAUAAACUAAACAUGAAAAGAUUAAGCAAUAACCCCUGUUCAGAAACACAAAUAAUUUAACUCAUUGAUUGCAACUGAUCUCAAAAAUAAAUGAAAAAAAAUCAUGCUAAUAGAUACAAAUUAGAGAUCGGACAUCUGGAACUUCACUCAUAUCCCGAUCUAAACAGUGUUAAUCACCUUCUUCAGAUUCCGGCAGCCCAAAAUUUUCAUAUCUGCCAGAUCUAGGGUUGACAGAACAAAUCAGGAUCUAGAAAGAGACGAAGAAUAGUACUAUCACAGUCAGAUCCAUCUUCCAAACCCCAAACAUUAUUAGCCAACAAGAUCCGUAACCCCAAAUCAGAGGCCCAAAUCAAGUAUUCCACACCAGAUCAUAAGCCCGAAUUCGUCGACGACGGUCGAGAGAAGAUGGUGACUUGCAGCACGAAUUCGUCGUUUCAGAAGAAAUAAGUCGAGGUUAUUGGACACACCGGAGCAAGAUGGGAGAUCAAUUCGUCGUUUCAGAAGAAAUUGUUAAUGGAUUUAUUGAGGAAUCGCCGGAUCGGUUGAGGAAGAGGAGAUGUAAUUUUCGGCUGGGUUUAGAUCGAUUGUAU
rnacentral:lncRNA from 1 species